rnacentral:pre_miRNA from 1 species
ACAACCCUAGGAGAGGGUGCCAUUCACAUAGACUAGAAUUGAAUGGCGCCACUAGGGUUGUG